rnacentral:rRNA from 1 species
CGCCUCUUGAACCCUUAUAAGAGGUCCAGCCUGCCCAGUGACUCUGUUCAACGGCCGCGGUAUCCUAACCGUGCGAAGGUAGCGUAAUCACUUGUUCUUUAAAUGUGGACUAGUAUGAAUGGCAUCACGAAGGUUAUACUGUCUCCUUUUUCUAAUCAGUGAAACUAAUCUCCCCGUGAAGAAGCGAGGAUAAAACUAUAAGACGAGAAGACCCUAUGGAGCUUUAAACAUUUAUAACACUUGCUAAAUAAAAUACAAAUUUCAGAAUUAUUCACUCUUUAAGCAACUUGUCUAUAAGUUUUUGGUUGGGGUGACCGCGGAGCAUAAUAUAACCUCCAUGUUGAAAGAUCUAUUUCUAAGCUAAGAGCUACACCUCUAAGCAUCAACAUAUUGACAUCCAUUGACCCAAUAUAUUUGAACAACGAACCAAGUUACCCUAGGGAUAACAGCGCAAUCCACUUCAAGAGCUCCUAUCGACAAGUGGGUUUACGACCUCGAUGUUGGAUCAGGGUUUCCCAGUGGUGCAGCCGCUACUAAAGGUUCGUUUGUUCAACGAUUAAAACCCUACG